GACGAACGCUGGCGGCGUGCCUAAGACAUGCAAGUCGAGCGGGGAGAUUGGGGAGCUUGCUCUCCGGUCUCCUAGCGGCGGACGGGUGAGUAACACGUGGGUAACCUGCCCGGCAGUGGGGGAUAACCCUGGGAAACUGGGGCUAAUACCGCAUACGGUCCGCGCUCCGCAUGGGGUGUGGAGGAAAGGCCGCCGGAGAGGCGGUCGCUGCCGGAGGGGCCCGCGGCCCAUCAGCUGGUUGGUGGGGUAACGGCCCACCAAGGCGACGACGGGUAGCCGGCCUGAGAGGGUGGUCGGCCACACGGGGACUGAGACACGGCCCCGACUCCUACGGGAGGCAGCAGUCGGGAAUCUUGCGCAAUGGGCGAAAGCCUGACGCAGCGACGCCGCGUGGGGGAGGAAGCCCUUCGGGGUGUAAACCCCUGUCGUCCGGGACGAAGGUCGGGGGUGAGGAGCCCUCGGCUGACGGUACCGGAAGAGGAAGCCCCGGCUAACUAC
rnacentral:rRNA from 1 species